rnacentral:rRNA from 1 species
GUAGGGAAUAUUGGGCAAUGGAGGCAACUCUGACCCAGCCAUGCCGCGUGCAGGAUGACGGCCCUCUGGGUUGUAAACUGCUUUUAUACGGGAAGAAAAAAUACUACGUGUAGUAUACUGACGGUACCGUAAGAAUAAGGAUCGGCUAACUCCGUGCCAGCAGCCGCGGUAAUACGGAGGAUCCAAGCGUUGUCCGGAUUUAUUGGGUUUAAAGGGUGCGUAGGCGGAUCUUUAAGUCAGUGGUUAAAGCCUGCAGAUUAACUGUAGAAUUGCCAUUGAAACUGAAGAUCUUGAAUGUGGUUAAAGUAGGCGGAAUGUAUCAUGUAGCGGUGAAAUGCUUAGAUAUGAUACAGAACACCGAUAGCGAAGGCAGCUUGCUGAACCAUUAUUGACGCUGAGGCACGAAAGCGUGGGGAGCGAACAGGAUUAGAUACCCUAGUAGUCC